UGUGAGGGCAAUCUGGCUGGGAUGUCUUCACCCAUGGAUUUCCAGGGUUGAUUCGCGAUCAAGCUGGCUAGCUGGUGUCCCCUUCCUUCCUCACAAA
rnacentral:snRNA from 1 species